UCGGCUGUCUGACCGGGCCCCGCCCCGAGCGUCGGGAGGGGCUGUGAGGGGCUGGGCGGGAACGGGUCGCGAGGAGCUUCGAGGGCGCUUCCGCGUUCCACGCUCCCCGUUGUUACUGCGCGGCAGCAGAAGCCGCCUGUGGGCGCUCUGUGGGGGAAGGGAGAGCGCCUCGGGCUGCCGGGCGCGCAGCGGCUGGUGCCUGGUGGAGGGUAACAGCCGUGUGCUGGGGGCGAGCCUGGAGGCAGCCCCAUGCAGAGCCCGUGCAGCCGGGGUGCCUGGACUUAGUGAAACCCCCUUUGUGUUACAGCCCUAAGUCUGCUUUUUGUCGUUUUAAGCUAGGGUGUGUGAAACUACUGCUUCAGAGUAACUCCAAAAGCGUAUCCAGCUGAGCGUGCUUCAGUGGGCACUUACCCACUGCCCCAAAAAAGUCCAACUAAAGCAUGAAUCGAGGGAAUAAACUUGGCCCUUGACAGUUUUUUUCCCAGAGUGGGCCCUUCAAUUUGUGCUGAGCUUGACACGGCCAGCCUGGAAGUUGUGACAAAUUUCCCUGAAGUCGCGACAAGCAUCAAGUCACGACAAGGUGCAUGAAGGCCCGCCCUGCCUGCUCCUCGCACUCACUGCCCCGCCUGGCUGGGGCGAGCAGGGCACAGCUGAGGGGAAAAAGGGUCAGGGAAAAAACUUUCUGGCUUCCUAUGCAGAAGUGCCCAAUCUGUGCUCUUCAAUCUCAUUACAGAUUGAGGCAGAAAUCCUGUUACAUCAUCAGGAGCACGUUUAAGUGUGAGUGUAGAGUGAGGUACCAUACCUUCUGUCCCAAAAGCCCUUCUCCAGGAGGGCCUCGUGGUCCUGGCAUUCCAUGAAUUCCUUGUUCCCCCUAAUGAUAAUCCAGAUUAUUUAAAUCCAGUUGAUACUUCAAAGGAGUCACUCAGGACCUUAUGGUCAGAGAACAUGAAUCACCUUGCUGAUUGAGAUGAGCAUUGCACUGAAGGAUGGAUUGUAUUGAAAAUAGAUUAUGGGAGAUGUAACUGUUUAAAUGGCUUACUUUUGGUCCUGGCAGGCCUUCUCCUGGGGGACCUGGGAGACCAAUUGGUCCUCUACUACCGGGAUCACCCUGAAAAUGGAUACUUUAAAAAAUAAGUAGUGAAUACCAAAGUUUGAUUUCUAGAAUUCUCAGCAUCUGUUGUGCUCAAGCGGGACAAAGAGAGGAGAUUUGCUGAACAGCACAGUGUGGACCAGGAUAACCGUCUCCUUUUGGCCCAAAGGGCCCAGGGGGUCCUGGAAGGCCUCGGUCACCCUGAUGAAGGCAGGAAAAACAGAUGAGACAACUGACAGUGCAAUUGCUAGCAGGAAAUGCUCCAUGAAAGUGAAACUUCUUUGGCAGGCAUAGUGUUUGGAUAUCAGCACAGGGUAAACAGUAGGAAUGUUUGAAGGGAAGCAAGAAGGCUGCAGAGAGAGAUGAACCAACCUUCUGUCCAGGUGCUCCAUCUUCUCCUGGAAGGCCAGGCAGACCUGCAAGUCCUGAAAGGCCUGGCUCACCCUAACAUCAAUAAAAAGUAAGUCUUUCUAUUAAAUACAGACUUGGUACUAUUCUUUUGCUGAAUCAAGGAAAUUUAUUUUAAAAAGGUUACUAAACUGUAUGUAUAUUUAUAGCAAACACUUACGCAUAUGAACUGAAAUCUUGCAUUUUUUAAAAUACUGACAACUCCCAUUUAUUACUAACAAGGGAAGAAAUAUGCCUGAUUGUUCUAACUGUGAAUUUUAUCUAGACAAA